rnacentral:rRNA from 1 species
AGCGCAGGUGGUUUAUUAAGUCUGGUGUAAAAGGCAGUGGCUCAACCAUUGUAUGCAUUGGAAACUGGUAGACUUGAGUGCAGGAGAGGAGAGUGGAAUUCCAUGUGUAGCGGUGAAAUGCGUAGAUAUAUGGAGGAACACCGGUGGCGAAAGCGGCUCUCUGGCCUGUAACUGACACUGAGGCUCGAAAGCGUGGGAGCGAACA